UGCCAGCCGCCGCGGUAAUACGGAGGGAGCGAGCGUUAAUCGGAAUCACUGGGCGUAAAGCGCGCGUAGGCGGUUUAGUAAGUCAGAUGUGAAAGCCCCGGGCUUAACCUGGGAACUGCAUUUGAUACUGGCCAACUAGAGUGCGAGAGAGGGAGGUAGAAUUCCACGUGUAGCGGUGAAAUGCGUAGAUAUGUGGAGGAAUACCGGUGGCGAAGGCGGCCUCCUGGCUCGACACUGACGCUGAGGUGCGAAAGCGUGGGGAGCAAACCGGAUUAGAUA
rnacentral:rRNA from 1 species